rnacentral:lncRNA from 1 species
GGAUGGUCUCGAUCUCCUGACCUCGUGAUACAGGCGUGAACCACUGCGCCUGGCCGAGAGAAGAGUUUUAAAUGUGGAUAGAAAAAUCUGGAUGGCUGUUUCCUGUUUCCUGUUUCCUACGAACACUUGCUGCAUUUGGAGUAGGAACGACAGCCCAGUCAGAGUGAAGAGACCAUGUCUGUUCCCACCUCCAACCAACUACCUGUGUGGACUUCAGCAAGUCACUUCACCUAUGAACCUUUAUCAAAAGGAUAGAACUGAAUUUCCUCUGAAGUUCUUCCGAAACUCAAAAUUCUUAAAGAAGAAAUAAACUUUAUGUAAAUGUCCACUGAAAAACUUUUAUGUAAAUGUCCACUGAAGAACUUGAUUCACCUGCAGCUACCUAAAUAUAAUGUUUCAUUAAUGAAUCACACAUUUCAAAAUGGAAAGAAAAAAAUUCACUGAGAGUAUUUUUUAAAUCUAUUGGAUGUUUAAACCCAGUGCUGAUUUUCCAGUAAACAUCCACACUCAUUUGCCCACAAGACUGAACUUUCUCAGGUGUCCGAUGCUAUGCGUGGUUUGCCCAAAGUUACCAACAGCUGCAAAGUGUUCUUUCCCAUAGCUUUCCACUCUGUGCAUAUUUAUCACUUCCUGUCCGCUUCUGAAAAUAAAAUGUGGAGUUGCAAAAAGUUUCUUAUGGGGGAUAUUUAACCAGCUAUUAAGCCAAAUAAACUUUAUGACAAAAUAAAUGUUAGAAAGUAGGACAAAAUGAUUUUUUUAGAACCUAACUAAAUAUUUAAAUAUUGGAGCGGAUGAUAUAUCAACACCAUGGGAUCUCAUAUAAACCCUAGAAACCUGGAGAUUAUAUUUCAGUAAUGUUUUAAUAAUAAAUAAAUUUGACUUUGAACUGGCUUAACAAAUUGUGUUUGUCAGUCAGAGGAGGCAUAACUAAUAAAUAAGACUGCUUAAAUGCUCUUUUUAAAAUGACUACUAUGUGAAGAAAUGUGGCCUGGAUCACAGAUAUAUUAAGUGGUCAAUAGCAAAAUUAAUAUGGGGUUUCCAUGAAC